ensembl:lncRNA
UAUAUAAUUUCAAGUAUGUCUAAAAAUCCUUAUACAGCAACCAAAUAAAUAAUUAAAUAGUUAAUUAGUUAAUGGACCUUAUUGGUCAAAGUGUCAAUCCUGUUUAUUCUACAAAUUAACACAUAAAGUCACUCACAUAUUUGAUUGGAAUUCAGUUUUAGUAGUGUUUAUUGACCAAAAUACAUAAUAUAUGUACAUGUAGUGACAUUACAUUUAAACAAAAUAAGUUAAACAAUAUGACAAGGAAGAGUCAGAACCAUAUUUUUUAAUACAUGUCAUGUUAUAAGAAAAUUAGAUAUAUCAGGUAUGGCAUUCUUAUUACUUAUUUUUUUAGAUAACUCUGAACACUGUUUAAAAAUUAAAUAAAUAACUGGAAAAAACUGUCCCAUUGUGGCAGUGUAGGUAUGGAGGGAAAAGGAAAAAUGGGACAGAGUAUCAACAUCUAAACUUGCCUGGUAAGACACAAAUCAGAGGAUUUUACUGCAGCGGAGAGGCAGAGGAAAGGAUCUGAUGUCAUGUGACUGCAGAAGAGAUGAAAGCAGAAUGACAGAAUUAAAGUGGUUAUUUUUUCAGGAGAAAGUUCUUGAAGGAAACUGUUUAAAGGGUCUAUUAGUAAAGGAUAAAGUGCAAGCAGAGGUUCAAAGAGUCACUGUCAGAACCAAGCAUCAACAUCCAAAUGGAUUUUUGAGACAACUCUGUCAGUUUAUGUUUUAUAUAGACAAAAACAGCUGCAAUAUUCUUCUAAAUAUCUUCUUCUGUGAUCGUUUGUCUCAUAUAGGUUUGGAACGACCAGUAAAAGAUGACAGUUCAACAUGCCCCUGAAAUUACAAAUUGAAUAGAAAAUGCAUGAUUUCCUUCUUCCCAUUCAGAAUACAACCAAAUGUUUUACUGAGUCAUGCCUGCAGAUAGAUUUUCCUUUUUUUUUCAUAAAUUUGUCAUAUAAGUUGUCCCAUCAGUAUGUUUUAUUUAUAUCUCUUCUUUAUUAUUUACUUGUUUAAACCACAUAAAGAUUUUGACUUUUCUUUGCACAUUCCAUCGUAGGAUGCAUAAUGACCUGGAAAAUAAGUAAAAUGGGUAUUAAAUCAGUAAAACACACACACACACACACAAAUCAUUUUAUAAAUUUUACUGACUGGCAUUACUUCCUCUUUGCCACGGCGAACAGGAAAGGUGAACUGUGUAGGUGCACUCUAAUUAGUGCUUGUCACACAGAUCUCGGGUGUCAUGCACACAAUAAGAUGCAAGAAAAGGAGGAUGAACUGAUCGCUGAAUAGCACAUUACACAUUAGAGGGUAUGGGAGUAAGAAGGAAUUACUUUUGUGACAUUCAUGAAGGCAUUUGGACAUAACAGGGUGGGGUUCAGAACUUUACUGAUGGCUUCUUUUAAUUAUAUUUCCUUUUAUUAUUAUCAAGCAGUCUCAUCCGGUCUUCCUGUUUUAAAUCAUUAACUUGAUUUAUUAAAAAGCAUUUAAACAUUCUAAAGUCAAAAUAUUCUACAUUCCAUAGUUGAUCACAUUUUAAUUUUUUUAAAAGCAUUUUAUAUUCCUUUUUCUAUUAAAGUCAUGGUCACUGAGCCCCCAGAGUGCAUCGUUACCAGACAGUGUUAGAACAUCAGUGAACAGCCAAGCACUGCCAGGUAAGAUGUACCCUAGAGACAAUUAACGAACUUCUUCUGCAUGAUAGUAUUCAAAUGAAACAGCCAAAGAAUUCACAGAAAACCACAACAUAUUUUCCUUUGUGUAUUUGUAUGUGCUUGUAUUUGCAUAGCCUGCAUGUCCACACCCAGAUGCAAAGCAUUUUUAACGACGCUCGUGGAGGACCAUCUGCAUCAUUACCAGGCAGUAUUAGAGAAGAUAAAACAUCCAAAACUGCCUUGUAAGAUGGAGAUGGGCAUCCAGUGUUUGCCACAUUGAUUUUUUGUUCCAUCUAAUUCUUUUCAGUUCAGCAUGAAACAUGAGGGGAGUCAAGGGCUCUAUGCUUUUCUCUGUCAAUAUAAAAUGAGUUACUGUAUUUAAGUAAGACAUUGUAAGGUGUUUGUUAAUGAUUAUCUAUUUUCCUGACUGGCUUGUCUUCGUUUUAUAGCUUUAUAUAUUUCCUUUAAAAUGCCGCUUAUUUUGCAACAGACCCCAAAGGCUUUUGAUGUAAGCAUAUUACCAUACAGCCUGGACCACUUCCAGUUUCACGAUGCACUUAUGCAAUUUCUUCACAAUUAUUAUUAGAAACAACAAAAACAUUGUAACACCAGAAGUUUAUUUCUUAGGUGCACGCCCUGGUCUGCCUCCUUGGAAACCAUGACUUUUGAGACGUCUCCAUGACCUGGGAGAGUUUGACUAAUUGGUUGCACCUUCAUCAAAACAAAAUUGCGUCUACAGCCUCCCAAUCCCAUUACAGCCACACAACAUAGAUGGUAAGGAAAGCGCUUAGUCAUGCUAAUCAAAAUGGCUGAUCUUUGUCACCUAUACCUGAGUGUGCACCUGACUGACCCCUCACCUGUACAAUAGAUUCGAUAAGAUUCGAUUAGAUAACUCGCUUACUUCUGAAACCAAGCUAAGUGUGUUUUUACAUUUUGCCUCUAUUGUUGUUUAAUGCCAAAACUCACAGUAACAUUAAAGAUAUCAAUUUUAUCAGGCCAUAUUUUCUCUGCCCUGUACCUUUUUAUUACAACAAGAAAAAUAUUUAAUUUUAAUACGGGAAAAAUAGUUUGUAUGAGAUUGUAUCAGAGCAUGGGUCCAUGUGUCAAUCAAUUUUAAAAGUCAUUCAUCAAUUUCUCACAUCCAAGUCUAAUUCAUGUUUAAUUUAUAUAAUACAACUCUAUAUUAUAACAUUAAAAAUUAUUUAACCAUUUCUUUCUUUUAAAGCUUUACAUAUUCUACUUCAUACCCCUUUGUUUUAAACUGAUCAAACAGGUUUGACACAUUACGGAAGUGAAAGUUAACAUGCUGGACACUCAUAGUCUUUAAUGUUUCACAAAUUGAAUGAUUUAUAUUUCAUUCUGAAAUUCAUACGUGAUUUUUACAUUAAAGAGCGUAAGGAAGAUUGUGUUCAUCUAAAAUAUAAUUUAUAUUGGUUUCCACCUCAUUGUAUUUUUUAUUAGCUUGCUAUUAGUAUAUACUAAUAGUAAAAUAUACUAAUGCAUAUAUGAACUGAAAUGACAAAAGACAUUGUUUUUGUAAUUAAUGAAUUAUUAAGUAAAAAUUUUGAAUGUAUUAAAAAAAAAAAAAUAGUUACCCUAUGAAUUCCUGUUGCCGUCAUUCAGUAUGGAGUCAUGGACAAGAGAUGCCAUUGUGUCGCAGCGUCGCUUUAGCUGAGGAAGAUCACUUCCUGGUCCUUCCACUUGUUCAGAGUAUGAUUGCUCCUUCCACGUUAGGCCAGACCUCUCGAACCGGUCUGAAGGUACCUGAUGAAGAUGCAUAGACAAUACUAAUGGAGUCUCAAGUACGAGAAGAAACACAAUCUCCAAAAGCUCCUGAAGCGAAGAAACUGUUCCUACAAAACAUCUAGGUUUUCAGGUACACCUUGGAGCCCUGCCCAGGUGUCAUUUUUAUGCUGGGACCAAUCCCUGGCCUUCUUCUAAGAGCAGGUGUGUCUUGUGUUCUGUGAUUGGUUAGUUUAGUGUGGAAGUGCCUCAGGGUGUCUGAGUACACAAAUGAGACAAGCUUUUAACCUUCAAAAGAGCCACGCCCCAUCCUUAGUUUCUCUUGUUCUGGGUCAGACUUUAGGGCAAC